rnacentral:lncRNA from 1 species
AUAUGCCUUUCUAUGCUGUGAUAGCCACAGUGCACCAUAGCAAGCUAAGAGUGUACACUGCGCACAGAAGAGGACAGUUUCUCAGCCAGAAAGAAACUCGCACAGCCUCACCAAUUUCAGCAGAAAUAUUCAGGCUUAAUAUGUGGCCAUUAAAUAAUAUCUAACUUGCAUAUAGCGUUUUCUUCCACAGGUUUCAAAUCAUUGCAAGAGAAAUAGACCCCAGUCCUGCAAACACUUAUGUUUGCGUAACUGUGCAUAGGGGAAUAAUCCCAUUAAAUCAAUGGGAUUACUCGUGUGCAUAAAGUUAAGCAUGUGUGUAAGUGCUUGCUGGAGCUGGGCCUGAGAGAAAUGACAGGGUUUUUGAGCCACUCGUACAGCGGGUGUGAAUGUUCCUAUUCUGGUUGUGUAGCUUCAAACACUCCUCAAAGUCAAGUGGUAUUUAUAAGGAAAAAAAUUGCCCUUUUUUUUCCAUCAACUCAGGACAUUUUAAGAAUCUGUAAACAAUCUAUUGUCAUAACACAAGCACAGCUUAUAAAGAGGUCUCAAUAAAGCUGAAAAAAACAGUUUCAGGCUGAAUUCACUGACAGUUUGGGUGCCUACAAGGUCUUAUGACGUAUCCUUUCGUAUUUGCAAGUUUAUAUAAAGGGGCUUGAAUCUAAAGGUCGUAAACUAUGUGUAGAUGUGAAUCAUGCUUUAUUUCUUGAUAAUCUUCAUAGUCAAGUUGAAGUAGAAUUGAAAACUAAAAGAAGCAAACCAAUAGAAAUAGCAAUUAUGAAAUCAGGAAAGAAAAAGCAGUCCUGUUUGUACAUAAAGAGAAACCAAUUCAGCCUAAGUCAGGGGGCGCAAAAGUUCGCUGUGUAGGCAGGAGAUGACUGAGUCAGAAAUAUUUUGGGAAAAGAGCAAAGAUGGUAGAGAAUGCAAUGCUGUGCCUAAAAAAUCCUGUUAUCCAUCCAGAGAACAGCUAAGGACUUAGGAACAGAAAUUGAGUGAACUUAUCUACAGUUCCUCUUUCAAAGAGUCAUAGAAUGGCUUGGGUUGAAAGGGCCCUCAAAGAUCAUCUAGUUCUAAUCACCUGCUUCAAUUCUCAACCAGAAUUUAAACACUUCAGUUCUUAGGGUAGAUAAGGUCAAGGUAGAUAAACCCAAGCAAGGAUGUAUCUGCACAUCAUAUUCAUAGCUCCAUAACUAACAUAUUAGGUGAGUAUCCCCCAGAGAUCAAGAACUGGUGACUGAAACUGGAGAAAUUCAAUUUAUCCUUUCACUAUUUUGUUUAUUGAAUAAACCAAUGAUUUAUACUAUGUUGACUCAGACCCUUGUGCUGCAGAGCAGACCCUUGAAAACAGCCAGACUUUGAAAUACACACACAAAUAUUAAUAUACAAAUUAUUAGUAUAAAAUAGCAAAUAUGAGUAAGUGACAGUAUAAAGCAGACCAGAACUAGCCUGGCCCCUAUAUAUUACAGAAAUAAAAGUAGAAAAUUGUGUGUGGUCUUCCUCUGAUGCCAUACUCAGGAUUUUUAUUGCAAACACCUUUCUUCAAACACCCAUUUAACAUGCAUCCAUCUGUCAGGCGACGUUUUCCACAGCAGUGUUAAUGUGCAUGUGCCCCCUUCCACUUUGGUAGUUCACACCUUUAACUAGGGCUGGAGCCAGAGUGAAAUAAACAGGCUUCCACAGUUUGAGUAUGAAAGGCUCAAAAACGUGAGAGACGCUCCAUCAAAAAGAAGGGAUAAAACAAAAAACAAAGGACUGAGGAAGGGCAGAACACAGGUUUGAAAGGCAAUGGGCUUUAAAACCAUUCUUGCAGAUAUCUCUUCUGGAAAGUAAGAAUGAUGAGUGAUGAGUAAUAGCUUGGAGACAGAAUAGAAAGUAGUACCUGAUGAACACAUUCAUUGACUGAAAGAAGAACCCUUUGCUCAGCUCACAAGCAGAUGCUGUACCUCAGCUUGUUUAAAAGACUUCUGGUUUUAGAAUGCUUGUCCAGAAAGGCUUAAGAAGAAUUCUGCUUAAAAAGACUCCAGGAAGUUUUAGGAAGAGCUCCUCAAAGACUGCAUCAUUCUAAGCUUUAAGUUUCCCUAUGGCAUUUUACCUUUCUUCAGAAGAAAAGAAAUAAAUCAGGGAGAUAUGAAACUUGAAAAAAUACGCCAUGAAAGUUACCACCUUAAUGAAAUAUUAAAAAUGCAUCAGGAAUACAGUUCUGGCAUUAAAAAUAAACAAUAACAUUUCCUCCUAGUUACGGUUCACUUCAAUUCUUUAAAAAUUAAUUAUUACCUCUUUAAAUAUUUGAUUAAAUUAGAUUUGGGUGGGUUAUCGCUAUCCACAAAAUACACGUUGUUGUGUAUAAAUUUGCUUUCUUCAGUUUCUGACAUGUACGGGCGUGUUGUAUGGCUGUACGAUUAUUAGAAAACUAAAUUCAAUGGCUCUGUUCUGGCAGUUUGCAAAACAUAUACUACAAACUAUGUACUGAAUCCUGUCACUUUGGAUGAAAAUGCAGUAUUAUGUUAGAAAUCUCUAAUAAAAGAGGAAAAGUAAAGCAGCAGAAUUACAUUAUACUUGGGACUUUCACAUCGUAUCUUAUCAUGUUGGUAUAUCUCACGUGGUAGAAAGGCCACAUUAUUUUUAAAAAUGGUUAAUUAGGAUUUGGGGAUAAUAGCCUAGAAAUCAUAAGAAAUUGCUAGACACAUAAAGCCUAUUCUGCUCUCAAUGCAUGAGGAUUUAUAACUAUGUAGAUAGCAAGGAGAGAAUAAACCCUGUAGCAUGUCCUAGGAGAGGUAAGACAAUUAUUUCUCAAGUAUUUUGAUAAAAGCAAAUUAGUAUGUCCGACUGGAUAAAUAAGAAAUGCUGUUGGGUGGCUGCAGAGGCUGAUAUAGAGUUAUAAAAUAUUAAUUUAAGUGAAACACAUAUAUUAUAAAGGUAGUCUGUGAUGAUAAUAAUAACAAUAAAUCUUUUCUCUCCUUUUGCCCAUAUUUUACACAUAGAUUUAGGGCUGCUGGGGUGCUGGCUUGGCAGUCUAGUUCCCCUUUAUGAUCAAACAACCAAACAAUAGCAAAAGGUUUUUCAAUCUUUUUCCUUUUUCCCUGUUGGAGGAGAGGAUUUGAGAAUUAAGAGAAAGACUGUCAGUCCUUGGCCUCCAUAGCAGUAUUGCUAACAAGAAAACACAGAGGGAAAGGGUUUUUCUUGGCACUGGGGAUGAGGACGCGUACCAGCAGUGUUGCGACUCAGUUCAAUCUGCCUGGACCAGAGCGGAGUCAGCAGGGAUUCUGGUUGUAAGAGACCCAAACUAAGUUUAACCACGUGAUUUAGGGGGGAAAAAAAGGGAUUCAAUGCAACAUGUGCUAAAACCUCAGUAACCCAAAUUUUACUUAAUAAACUUCCCUUUAUAAAGAAGAUAUGGUGGUUGGCAACUGCCCAUAGCAGGGGGGUUGGAACUGGCUGAGCAUUGUGGUCCUUUUCAACCCAGGCCAUUCUAUGAUUCAUAACUGAAACAGCUAAAAAGGUGCAUGCUUUUAGAAAGAUCAGCUGAAGUGAAACUACCUGGAACCAAAAGUUCUUUCUGUUUUGUGCUUCUUCAAUAGAGAAAUGACUGAGUUAUAAAACCAAACAGAAAACAAGAAUGUUUGUGUUUGGGGAAUGUAAAUUCUUUUUUCAACUACAUUGAGAAUAUCCAACUUAAUCCUUGGGAAGUCAGCAUUUAAAAAAAAAAAAAAAAAAAAAGACUCUUCUUUUAAAUUAAUGUCACAAUAUCACAAUGCCAACAUCUGGCUCCUGACAGUAUACAUGUCACAUGGCUGCUUUGAAAUGGUAAUUGACUUUGUAAUAAAAAUAAAGAGUAGGUGUCUUCAGGCAAGCGUUCUUCCACAUCCUUCCCAUUGGUUAUGCGUAGCUCAGACUUCAGUGUUUAAAUGCUGUUGAACUGGUACAGUGGAUAGGAUUUCGUGUCACAGUACGCAUCCUCUCAUCAUUAAAAUGCACAAGUAAACAUCACCACUUUUCCUUUGAAGAAGAGUACCCAUCAGGAUACGUACUUUAUGCCAUAUACAUCUGAUAGCAACUCAGCUUCCUGCACUGAUUCAAACAGCUUUACCUAGUACUUAUUUUUUCAAACUGAGAUGCCUAACUUUGCAGAAAGACUAAGCUGUUGGCAUGAAAUGCACCCAUCUACCCAAGCAGCACAGUCUUCUCAGCCUAAAAUAGAACUAGAGUGGACUGAAGAGGCUGCAAAAGGCAUUCAUCUGCCCUUUUCUGUGAAGUAGAGACACCCAAAUAAUAACAGCAAAAUCCGGAGGAAUAUCAACUAUCUUGUGGAGAAUGAGAAAGAAAGUGCCUGGAAAACCAGCCUGCAGAUUGAACUCUCUUCCUGCUUCAGAGCCAUUCUUGGGUGCUUCAGCUCAACAGCUAUACACAGCUCUGAAGCACUCAGAGUGGUAGGGAAGGAAGCUGGGCACAGGCAAUAGCAUAGGAAAAACAUUUUCAUCAUUAUAUAUGUAAUAAUCCAAGCUUCAUUUGCAUACUUUGAUUUUGCUGUUCGGUAAGGUUUGGUCCCCGUGGCAUUCAGUAAGGUCACUUGAGGGGCAUUGGGAAGUAGCACGGAGAGGCAGUGGGGAGAGCUGGCCCAUGGCCAAGGAACCUGCCCAAAAUUGGAAAUAAGCUGUUCUUGUUUUUUGGGGGGGAAAAAGGGAAAAAAACAAACAAACAAAAAAAAGACCGCUUUGGAUGGGAAGGCUGUUUCCACAGCCAAGAGGAAUUAUUUGAGUUGGCUAAUGUAACACGGCCAGUUGAGCCUUUGCCUUUCGUAUCAUUACUUGCCUGCCUCCCUCCUCCUCGGGGCAGUCUGAAGGAAGGGAAGGAACAGACAGAUGUUCCUGGCCUGUGCUUCUGGGAUGUUAGAGCACAUCCAAGAGAUUUGUCACUCUCCAGAGGCACCCAGGUGGGAACUGGAACUCGCUGCUGGGUCGUGAGGGUCUCACUGUCAUCCUGGGAAGUUGUUAAUGAAAUCCCAGGACUUUUCCAAUUGCAAAAUAAAUAGGAAAAAUAAUAAAACAAAAAAGGAUAAAACAACAACAACAGGAAAAAAAAAAACACAAAUUUAUGUGAAGGGAGGGAAGAUGCAUUCAUCUUCUCUACCACUUCUGUUGCUUUUUGUUGCCCUUAGAAAAGCAGGCUGGUCCAAACAAGAAGGAGGUGGCUUCUGGCCAUUCCUCUUCUGCCAUUCUUACAGUAAAAGAAAAAAAGAGAAAGAGAAAAUUGAAUUUUUAGUCAACAGUUUUCACAAAAGACCAGGAUCCUGUCCUGCAAACCCCAGAUGGAAUGGCCAGGCAGGUCCCUAUGGGAUCCCAGUGUUUCAGUGGCCCAGGUCAUUGGAGUUUUGGGUUAAGGGAGUAGUAGGUGGCAAGUUGGCAUCAGUUUGUGUUGCCCUGGUGGGUCUCACUGUCUUCUGCAGCCCAAGAAUACUUAUAUCCACAUAGUAAUGAUGAAGAUUCAUUUGUAAGGAUGAAAACCCCAUAAAUUCUGGUGUGAUUUAUUCACUCAAACCACACAGAGCAUGCAAGAUAAAGUCAGAUCAUACAAUCUAAUGAAAAGUAGGUUCUGGCAUUAUUCCACCUAUCACAGAACUGUCCUCAGACUGGAAAUAAAAGCUCACAGCAUUCUGCUCCUCAAGAGUAGGCACCAUUACUUUAGGAAAAGGAAAUUAGUUAUGGUGAUAUCAAAGCUAUAGGUCAUUCUCAGAGAGACAUCUUUCCAGUUUUUAGGGGAUGAUGCAAAGUUGAAUGUCAUGAGUGCGUGGGAACCAUCAGCAAAUAUAACUAGCUACAAAACAUCAACAUGGCUGACAUUAAUGGCUCAGAAUAGAGUCGAUUCUGCAUUUUUUUUCCUCCACCUUUCCUCUCUUCCUGUUGUCAUGUGAGGCACACUCCCAGCCUGAACACAUCACAUAAUUCCUCUUUGGUUCUCUCGUUGCAGCUCAUAUGUCCUUCAUUCUCACACCAUAUUUAAAAUCACUACAUAAUUCAAUUUUUGUAGGAACACAUUUACUCCCCUGUAUUCAUCCCAGAGAAGGAGGAAUUUUUUGAUGAUUUUUUUUUCUUGCAGUGCUCAUUCUCAUGCCCUUUCCCCUCUGCAGUGACAGUCAGUCUUCCUCUGAUCUACUCAAAAACAAAGAAUAAAUGAUAACAUACUGCUGUCGGUGCUAUAUUUCCUCGUAAUUGAUAUACUUACUUCCUUUAUAGAGGUGUUUUACCUUUGGACCUCUUUUUCAAAUAAAGUGGCGCGCUAUCAGCAAGAUAUAUUCAAGAGCAAAAACAUAGCCCACAGGUCCUUGCCCACAACACUUUAUCCCUUCUCUGCAAAAUUUGUGCUUAACCACUGCAAAGACCGCCUCACUCUCACCUAUCCGAUAGUGGACAGGGGCCAGGGUAUGUUUCCUGAAGGAAAUCUGAAUGACCCAAAGAGUGCAAACACGCUCCAAGAAGAGAGAAGGGGAUGAGGAGAGAAGCCAAGCCACCAGCCCUGCGUCUGACUGUUGGAUUGGGAUUCAGGGCAGGAGUUAGGAUGCUUCACAUCCCAACAGCUGCACUCUGUCUUCAGGAUCUGAGAAACUGGACAAGACAACUGAAAAGGAAUCCAGUUGUUUAAGCUUCGGCUGCAAUUGUGUUUAUAUUUGUUUUGCUUGUAACCUUUUGUUUUCAGCCUUGCAACUAAAAGCCUGACCUUGUCUUGCUUAAUAAACCUUGUGCAGAAGCUUUA